UGGGACUUCCUAAACGGUUUU
ensembl:piRNA 21ur-1330 ncRNA